UCAUUCCAGACCUGAUCAUGACAGAUGCACAGCAUCUAAUGUUGAGUUGACUGAACCUUUAUAUGAGAAUGUAACGAUGAAUCAUUCCAGACCUUGUGAUGUUGAGAUGACUGAACCUGUGUAUGAGAAUACAAUGCAUGACAAGCCGUAGUGUUUGGGACACGUGGCAAAACAAUUCACAGCCUUUUUCGUCUCUCUGUGGGUGGAGCCCUGAAUGAUUGACAGUAGUGUCUUGAUUUACAGAAAUGAAUUUACCAAUUGGUUUUAUCCAGAGACACUUGCA